UAUCGUCGUCGAGUUUUAAAGUUUGUCGAGAUUUCCAUUGAACAAUGUGCGAAAUGCGUUAUUACUGCAGGACCGGAUUACGCCCAAUCGUAGCCAUAGGCGCGUAUUUUUGGUAACAUUCCUAUGUUUUCCGUUGUCAAGUCAUCUAAAUGGCAUGCCUAUACAUCGUGACCAAUACGCUUUAGCUGUGCAAUUAUUUUAUAACUCG